GGGAAUUUUGCACAAUGGGCGCAAGCCUGAUGCAGCAACGCCGCGUGAAUGAAGAAGGCCCUUGGGUUGUAAAGUUCUUUCGGCUAGGAAGCAGGGUUCAUGUGAAAAUAUUGCAUGGACUUGACGGUACUAG
rnacentral:rRNA from 1 species